rnacentral:pre_miRNA from 1 species
AAUAGAUGACGCCGUUGAUUUUUUCUCACAUGUUUGACCGUUUGUCUUAUUUAAAAAAUUUACGUAAUUAUAAUUUAUUUUUUAUGAGUUAUUUUAUCACUCACAAUAUUUUAAGUGUGAUUUAUAUCUUAUACAUUUGUAAAAAAAAUUGAAUAAGACGAAUGGUCAAACAUGUGAGAAAAAGUCAACGGCGUCAUCUAUU